UGGGGAAUAUUGGACAAUGGGCGGAAGCCUGAUCCAGCAACGCCGCGUGAGGGAUGACGGCCUUCGGGUUGUAAACCUCUUUCAUCAUCGACGAAGCAGCGUGUUUAGCGUUGUGACGGUAGGUGGAGAAGAAGCACCGGCCAACUACGUGCCAGCAGCCGCGGUAAUACGUAGGGUGCGAGCGUUGUCCGGAAUUAUUGGGCGUAAAGGGCUCGUAGGCGGUUUGUCGCGUCGGGAGUGAAAACACUGGGCUUAACCGAGUGCUUGCUUUCGAUACGGGCAGACUUGAGGCAUUCAGGGGAGAACGGAAUUCCUAGUGUAGCGGUGAAAUGCGCAGAUAUUAGGAGGAACACCGGUGGCGAAGGCGGUUCUCUGGGAAUGUUCUGACGCUGAGGAGCGAAAGUGUGGGGAGCGAACAG
rnacentral:rRNA from 1 species